UUCAUAUUCACCUAUGAAUAUGAAAACGCAAACGGGGGCUAUCUACACCAAUAACGACGACUCAUUUAUUUAAUCGUAUUAGCUGUACUCAGUUCCAAUGUUAUUUUAUUUUACACGGCUUGGGACUUAGCCAAAAGGCUAUGAAUACAAUCGUUAUGUUAGUUGAGGAUUACAGAAAUGAAAAUGGUGACGAGGACAGAAUCACAAUGGAAGAGUAUGUGCGGAAGGAUGAGGACUUAAAUAGAAAAUUUUAUAAAGAUGAUAAUGACUACAACUACAAAUUCGAUAGUGUAGCUAUGAUCGAUGAUAAAAGUUUACCGGAUCUAUUGAUAUAUUUGAGCAAUUUGGAAAAGACAAUUGACGGUUGGGAGGGAAAUACUUUUACUACUUUUGAAGUACAACUUUUCAUGAAAGUUUUUAAAGC